GAUCCCGCAGCUUCAUUUGCUCGCGAGAGUUUCUUCAUCUAGCCGAAUCACAAGGCUGCUGCAGGAAACGGAAGCAGAGAAGAGUCGCGAGACUUGGCUAGACCGCAUGCCUCCCCAGACCCCUCCCCUCCCUCCCGGCGCACUUCUGGCCCAGCUUUCUCGGUUGCACGUGUAGUUGUUUUGGCUCAAUCUCACGUGGCCGCGGAAGUGCCGGCGCUACAAGUCCGCCCCCAAGAUGGCGGCACCCAAUGAAUGGGGUCGCGAUCCGCUUCUGCUCAGUCUCGAAGUAUAGCCUUUGCGGUGUCUGCGGGGCCAUGGAGCGGCCUGGGUUCAUGGCUUCGCUGGUGGCUGGUGGGGUAGCAGGUGUGUCUGUUGACUUGAUAUUAUACCCUCUGGAUACCAUUAAAACCAGGCUGCAGAGUCCACAAGGAUUUAAUAAGGCUGGUGGUUUUCGUGGAAUAUAUGCUGGCGUUCCCUCUGCUGCUAUUGGAUCUUUUCCUAAUGCUGCUGCUUUUUUUAUCACCUAUGAAUAUGUGAAAUGGUUUUUACAUACUGAUUCGUCUUCAUAUUUGAUGCCCGUGAAGCAUAUGUUGGCUGCCUCUGCUGGAGAAGUGGUUGCCUGUCUGAUUCGUGUUCCUUCGGAAGUGGUUAAACAGAGGGCACAGGUGUCUUCCUCUUCAAGAACAUUUCAGAUUUUCUCUAACGUCUUAUAUCAAGAGGGCAUCCGAGGAUUGUAUCGAGGCUACACAAGCACAGUUUUAAGAGAGAUUCCUUUCUCAUUGGUCCAGUUUCCCUUGUGGGAGUCCUUAAAAAAUGCAGUUAAGUCCUUGGGAAAAUCGCUUAUGUCAUCAGCCCUCUGGUCCUGGAGGCAGGAUCACGUGGUGGAUUGUUGGCAGUCAGCAGUCUGUGGAGCUUUUGCAGGUGGAUUUGCAGCUGUGGUCACCACGCCUCUGGAUGUGGCAAAAACAAGGAUCAUGUUGGCAAAGGUUGGUUCCAGCACCGCUAGUGGGAAUGUGCUCUCUGCCCUGCACGGGGUCUGGCAGACACAGGGGCUGGCGGGUGCUGGUGUCUACUUGCUGUCAUGUGACCCGGCAGCGCCAGAAUUCCGGCAGAGGAUGGGUGUCGCGAGCCUUCCUUUCCGGGGCCCUGGAAAGAUUAUUUGCAGGCGUCUUCCCUCGAACGGCAGCCAUCAGUCUGGGAGGCUUCAUCUUUCUUGGUGCUUAUGACCAAACCCGCAGCUUGUUAUUGGAACUUGGCAGAGGGAGCCCCUGAAUCCAGGACGGCCCCACAUGCACUUCUGUCCAGAAAGGGGGCUGCUGUGCGCACGGGCUCCCUUCCGGCGAGCAGCUGCUCGCCCAUCUGAACCGCCCGCACCGCGCCCCUGUGUGAGGAUAGGACCUUGAGGAUGUCUUGCCUGCUCCAGCCUGGCUGGAAUGUCGACUGCCGCCUGUCUGCCAGAUCGCCAAGAGGACCGUGUCCACAGCGAGUUUACAGAGAAGGAUCCACCGGCCGGCGUGGUGUGUGUGAAAGCAAGCUGGUAGUUGCAGCUCCAGGGACGAGGUGGGCCCGGUGCGUCCGCGGAGGGUGCUGAGCCCCCCCCCCCCCCCCAGGGGCCUGGGCUGGCUGGGGAACAGAGCAGGGUUUCUUCGUUCCUAAUCGGGAAGGUUUAUUGUCUGCAGUUAGAAGGGGAGGUCACCAUUUCAGAGCUUGACUAAUAAGCUCCAGGUGUUAGAAAAAUUCAGAGAGAAAUCUCAGGAAUCUAGUGGUGGUGUAUCCUCCCUGGGGCUAAAGUAUAGGAUUUUGCUUCGCAUAAAAAAAUUUCCCCCGUUCUGGGGGAAAAAAAAGAUAAUUAAAGGCAGAAUAAGUGCAUUUGGUUUGUGAGUUUCUGGAAUGGAACAUACUGCUUACAAUGUCACUAGACAAAUGACCCCAGCCACCCAAUGAACGUUUAUAAAUGAACCUUUAUUAAAGACACUGCAACACCGUUUGUUAGACACUUCAAUAUUUUACAUGUUUUUCAAUGUACAUUGUACCAAAAUUUCUAUAAAUAAAUAACUUUGUACAUAAAAGUAA